ACUUCCGGCGACACGAACGCCAAAUAUGCCGACUAGUUCUAACUAUAUUUAUAUCGUGGUUGGUAGCUAUUGGAUGAUUCCUUAGCAAAGUACUAAAUUGUAAUUAUUGGUUGUAGUUAUCUAAUAUUUGACGUUUCAAUCAAAACAUAACUUAACCUUAUUCUUGCAUUGUUACUUUAUAGAUAAGUAUUGCUUAUUUGUUUAUUAAAAUGCAGUGUACUCAUGGUAUAACAAUAUACCGUAUAAAUGUUACCUGAAAGUGAAAAGAAUAUAGACAACAUGAUAGAAGGAGGAGAUACACAAUCCAGUGCAACAAAUGAACCACAUACUGAAUCUUCGGAGUCUAGAAUUGUACAUAGUGAGGGAUUACAUGAAGGUACAUCUAUAUCGAUAUCCCAAACUAAUCCUGAAACUGGUCAGGAAUUACUUACGGUUCAUGGAGCAACGCAAGGAGAGAGUAGUGAUGCAGUUAGUAUUCAUACUGCUAGUACCUCAGCCUCUGGCAAUGAAUCAAGUUCUAGUAGAGUAAGUGCAAUAACAGUUAUACUACCCUGGGGUGCUCAAAAAGAAACAGUAAGACCCCAACAAAUUGGAGACAUGGAUUUAAGCCCUGGAGAAUUUGUAAUGCGUACUUCAUUUGCUAAAUUCACUGCGCAAGCAGAAAAGAAAAUGGAAGCAGUGAUGACAGAACACGAGAAAGCACUUUCAAAAAUAUUACAAAGAGGAGAGGACCCACAAUUUGAUCAGCUUUUAUCAGCGUUCGGAUCAGUUGCAGAACAUUGUUUACCUUCUAUUUUACGAGCAUUAUUCAACUGGUAUGAAAGACAAUUAGGUGAUAAAGGUAGUGAUCAAAAGAAACCAGCUGCUGGAAAAGAAGAUCAAAAAGGCAAAAGUAUAAUGUAUACAAUAGUAUCAGGAAGUGUAGAAACAGUAGAAAGGAGCGAAGCAGACUUACUUCAAGAGCGCAGAGAUCUUGCUGUUGAAUUUAUAUUUUGUUUAAUGUUAAUUGAAGUAUUGCGACAAUUGCCAUUUCAUCCAGGACACGAAGAUUUAGUAACGUAUAUUGAAAAUAUUGCCUUUAAACAUUUUAAAUAUAGAGAAGGUAUACAAAAUGAACCUAAUGCUGCGAAUAUACAUAUUAUUGCUGAUCUCUAUGCGGAAGUGAUUGGAGUAUUAGCACAAUCAAGAUUUAUGUCUGUUAGAAAACGUUUUAUGGUAGAAUUAAAAGAACUGCGUGCUAAAGAACCUGGACCUCAUACUACACAAAGUAUUAUUUCUUUAUUAAUGGGAAUGAAAUUUUUUAGAGUUAAGAUGGUACCGAUAGAAGAAUUUGAAGCAUCAUUUCAAUUUAUGCAAGAAUGUGCACAGUACUUCCUAGAGGUUAAAGAUAAAGAUGUAAAACAUGCUUUAGCUGGUUUAUUUGUUGAAAUAUUGGUACCAGUAGCUGCUGCUGUUAAAAAUGAAGUCAAUGUACCAUGUUUGAAAAAUUUUGUUGAAAUGUUAUAUUCUACGACAUUAGAUAUGUGUACUAAAUCUAAACAUAGAUUGGCAUUAUUUCCUCUUGUAACAUGCUUAUUAUGUGUUAGUCAAAAAACAUUCUUUUUACAAAACUGGCACUAUUUUCUGGCUAUGUGUCUUUCUCAAUUGAAGAAUAGAGAUCCUAAAAUGUGUAGGGUUGCAUUAGAGGCUUUAUAUCGAUUACUUUGGGUAUAUAUGAUACGAGUUAAAUGCGAAAGUAAUUCAGCCACACAAAGCAGAUUACAAAGUAUAGUAAACUCUUUGUUUCCUAAAGGAUCUAAGGCUGUAGUACCCAGAGAUACACCUUUAAAUAUAUUUGUCAAGAUUAUACAAUUCAUUGCACAAGAAAGACUUGAUUUUGCAAUGAGAGAGAUAGUAUUUGAUUUAUUAUCUGUGGGUAGGCCAGUUAAAAUAAUUCUAACACCUGAAAGAAUGAGUAUCGGGUUACGAGCAUUUUUAGUAGUAGCAGAUAGUCUUCAACAAAAGGAAGGAGAACCACCUAUGCCAAGAACUAUGGGUGUAUUACCUAGUGGGAAUACAGUUCGUGUAAAAAAAACUUUUCUAAACAAGAUGUUAACAGAAGACACAGCUAGGAGUAUAGGAAUGUCCUCUUAUUUUCCACACGUUCGCAGAGUGUUCGUUGAUAUUUUACGAGCUUUAGAUGUUCAUUACGGUCGUCCAUUAAUGAUGACAAGUACCCAAAAUAUGAAUAAAGAACCAGACGAAAUGAUUACGGGUGAACGUAAGCCUAGAAUAGAUCUUUUCCGUACGUGUGUCGCUGCAGUGCCUCGUUUGAUACCUGAUGGAAUGACUGGAGCAGAACUAGUUGACUUGUUGUCACGUUUAACCGUACACAUGGACGAAGAACUUCGUGGAUUAGCAUAUCAAAGUUUACAGACUUUAGCAUUGGAUUUUCCCGAUUGGAGACAAGAUGUUGUUCUAGGAUUCACACAAUUUCUUGCCAGAGAUGUUCAAGAUACCUUUCCUCAGCUAGUUGACAAUGGCUUAAGAAUGUUAUUACAACUUCUUACAAGUUGGAAGAAUGCAUUAAUUAGUCCUAAUAUUAGAUUGAAAGAACAAACAGUGGACAAUACAAGAUCGAAUAUACGGCCGAACGUAGAUACGACUAUAAAAAGAAGUGAAUCCGGACAAAAAGUAGAACCAGUAUCGUGCGUAUUUCAUCUGGUAGAAGGAUUUGCAUUGGUAAUGCUUUGCAAUUGUCGACUUUAUCCUCGACGAUUAGCUGUACAUAUACUUCGCGAAUUAAAAUUCUUAUUAAAAAUAUUAGGAACUUCUGAUGACGAUCAACCUGUUAUUGAUGUGAUAGAUGCUUGUUGUCCAACUGUAUUAGAAAAAUGUUAUCAUAUGUUGCCACCAGCAGAGAAAGCAGCCGCUGCAUCUACAUUUAAUAUUGAUCUUCAAUGGAUAGCUGAUAGAAGUAGUUGCGUGUGGACAGCAGGGUUUCAUGAUGAGAACAGCACAAAAAGUUCUUCAUCUUUGAAUUUAAAUGGAGCUGAUCCGUGGGGAACCUGUUUAUUUGCAUUUUUGGAAAAGGACAGAGUACUCACUCAAUGUUCCAAUGCUGUUGCUCAUUCUUGGCCUAUCGUUUUUACAAGAAUAAAUUCUUUAUUUUCGGUAGUCGAUCCUACACCUGUCAAUGAUAACAGAGCUUCUCUUUUACGAAGUUCUACUGCAGUACGAAAGCCAGUAAACGAGAGAGAUGUUUACAUGCACGUUUGGAAAAAUUAUUUGACUUUUGGAUAUAGAGUUGUACCACCUGUUCCAAGUCCUGUUGUUCGCUGUGCCAGUCCAGAUCUUAGUCUCAGUGGUCAGCAUACGGUGGAGUUUGGUGUGUUGUGCAUGAGUAAGGAGUUGAGUCAGAGCCUGGAGAACCUCGGCGGGGUGCAGACCCUGCCGGGCCGGUUCUCCGUUCCGUCCAUUUCCGGCAUCUACAUCAGGCAUAAGCGGACCAGCUCAUCGCCGGAUAGUCUUUCUGCUGAAAGAGGUGAUAACAAGUCGCCUGGAACUAACGCGAGCCCUGCGGCUUUGUACAAAUUGACAGUGCCUCUUUUGAGAUGUGAGGCAAUCGAUGUUAGAGAUGCAGCUGUACAGGCCAUCGGUAAAGUAAACGCUGAUGCUUUGAAAGAUUUGAUGGAAGAAUUAGUUCCUUACAUACGCGAGGCUGUAGACCGCAAACAAGAAAAUAUGAGACGUAGAAGACGAAGAGAUGCUCUUAGAUUGCAGUUAGUUCGCGUUUUGGAAUUGAUCGCUGAAUAUGGAACAUUUGGAAUCUGUCCAGCCGUAUUAGAUCGCGAGACACAAUCUCUUCAUCCAACGUUCGUCGAGUAUAUAGACGGUGCGCGUAUUUAUUUGGAAAAUGAAACUGACAAAGAAGCUCCCGCAGUCAGGGAUAUAAAAUUACACUUUUGUAACUUCAUAAGAAAGAUGAUAGAAAGUUUUUCACUGGAAACCUGUCACAGUUUAUUGAAGAGGGAUUUAAGACGAAAUUUAUUUAUGCUCUUUGCUAGUUGGGCUGGACCCUAUGGUAGACCUCUCACAAGUGUAUCAUCUUUGCACGAAGAAGAAAAGACAUGUACGGAAUUACAAUUUUCUGCAUUACAAGCCAUGAGUGGUUUAUUAUGUUGCGGACCGUGUUUCAAUCCGCAGUCUCUUUCCGAAGAGGGUGCAAUAUUAUACCAAUGGCUAGAUUUAUUAUUAGCUAGUAAGGAUGAAAAGAUUUAUGCUCUGGCACGCGAAACAGUUGUUUUAUUAUUGGAAGGAAAUCCUGAUAUUGGUGCACUUCUUGAUUGGGUAGUUGAUAGAUGUUACACAGGAGCUCCCCACGUUGCUGAUGGUUGUUUUCUUGCAUUAGCAACAAUAUUUAGUGCAAGGGAAUAUCCUUGCGAUCAUUAUACAAGUAUCAUUAACGUAACAUUAAUGAAUACUGGUUGUCCUCGUGCACCUGUUCACGACGAAGCUCUUCAACUUCUCCAGCUCUUAGAUCAAAGAUUUUUUGGAAACGUGGGACCAUUGCCAGCCACAGAACCGGAAACUGGUCAAGAAGAUUUAGCUGGAAGUUCGACAGGUACCGCAUCAGGUGCAGUUCAACAAUCAAAUCCUACGGCAGGUGUAUCAUCGAGUGGAACUAUUAGAGGUGGUACCCUCGAUGUUUUACUUUCAACAACUUAUUGUCGCAGUCAAAUGUAUUUAUCACGUCAACUUGCUCAAUUACAUCCAGAAUUGACGAUGCCUAUGUUCAGUGAAAUCACACACAGAUUUCAAACAGCCCGCCGUGAAGUAAGACAACUGUUGCUUCAAUAUUUAUUACCUUGGUUACAUAACAUGGAAUUAGUUGAUCCCAACGUACCACCACCAUCAAAUCCUCUGAGUUAUUAUCAGUAUUACGCGAGUGAAAUAACACGAGGUGGAGCACGUAGAGAAGGAUGGGGUAGCGCAGAGGCAACAGAAAUGGUGCUGAACAAUUUGUUUUACAUCACAGCAAAGUUUUCCGAUGAACAUCCUAAAGACAUCGAAGAACUGUGGGCAACACUUUGUGGUUGUUGGCCUAACAAUCUUAAAGUAAUCAUACGUUAUCUUAUAAUUGUAUCGGGUAUGGCUCCCCAAGAGUUACUAUCUUAUGCCAAACGAGUGGUACUCUACUUGGCCAGAGCACGACCCGAUCGUCUCGUAGACGAAAUGAUGACGGAAUUGCAAACUGUCGAGACACUUAAUUGUUUGAUCGAGCGUACAGAAACACCACCAUUUUAUCGGUUAACCAGCAUGCGUAAGGCAUCGUCUCACAGCGAUGCACCUACCGCGGAUCCUGCUAAUCCUCCGCGAGAUUUGGGAGUUGAAAAAGGUACCAUUCAUACUAAACGACAUUCUGGCGAGGAUCCCGUUAAAACUGGUUCCAAGUCCGAUACUGCGUUACGUGCUCUCGCUGGAUUUCAAACACCGAGGGCAGAAAAAACUAGGACAGCAAGCGGGCCGCCAGUUCUUCCGGACGAUUUGUCGACUCCUACGACGGAAGUCGAACUAACUACAGACGAGUCGUGUUAUAUCGCACGAACUGGACCAGUGGGUUUGAGUGGUAAACCUCAAUGCAUUGGUGAAAAAUUUGACAUACCACAACCUCACCCAUUGCCAAUGCCAGAAUACGGCGGAUAUUUUGCACCCUUAACCGAAUACCUUCCUGACAGUUCGCAGCCUAUAAGUGGCUUUCAUAGAUGCAACAUAGCAGUUAUGCUGCUGACCGAUGUUGUUGUAGAUGGAGUACAAGUUGAUUGGACAAUUCAUGUUCCUUUGAUGUUGCAUAUUGUCUUUUUGGGUUUGGAUCAUUCGAGGCCACUCGUAAGAGAUCACUGUCGCUGUCUUCUAUUGAAUUUACUAGUCGUUCUUGGUGAUCACAGAGAUCAUCUUGGGGUAGCAAGAAUCUUACUUGCCUCGAAGACCAAACAAUUAGGUUUAGGUCUUCCUACGCCAGCUUUGCCAGUUUUGGAACAUAAUUUCACCGAAGUUGACCUAGAAUUUGACAGUUAUUUGUAUGGACCACCGCCAGCACCUCCACCCACUACACCUCCACAUUCUUCUUCACCCCCUCCGUCCUGUACACCGCCCCCGCCACCUCCCCCUCCGCCACCACCAUUGCCUCCUUCAUUUACGGAGACAUCUUCGUGUUUUCCUGCACCACCUCCUCCUCCACCACCACCUCCUCCACCAUCUUUACUAUCAUCAGCGAAUGGUACACCCACUCACUCACCCGUCCCCGUAUCUGUCUCCAGUACUCCAAUAUCAAUGAGUCAUGUAUUCCAGCAACUCGUAAACAAUUGCAAAGAUUAUAGCAAUCCCCAUUCGUAUGAUUCAACGGUAUGCAAUAGUUGGCCAGCAACAACUGGUACAGGGACAACUAUACCACCUGUUAUAGUUACACCAGAGGACAGUAAUAAUUGGGUUGGACCUCAACCUGGUCCCAACAUGCCUAUUCAAGAUGUUAUCAAAUCUUUGAUUAACUUUCUUGCAUCUAGAAUAAAUCAACCUUUAUGGAAUUAUGAAGAUAUGACUGCUAAAGUAUGGUGGGUUCGUAGUGCCGAACAACUCACUAUAUUGUUACGACACGUUUUAAGAGUCUUCCGUGAUUCUUUACCUCAUGCAUUAGUAAGUCAAAGAUGGGCUCAAAUUGCAUUGCAAUUGGGAUUGUCCUGUUCGUCAAGACAUUAUGCUGGACGAUCUCUUCAAGUGUUUCGAGCGUUACGCGUUCCUAUUACAUCACGCAUGCUUUCCGAUAUUCUGUCUAGAUUGGUUGAAACGGUUGCUGAACAAGGCGAGGACAUGCAGGGCUACGUGACAGAAUUACUUUUGACUUUGGAAGCUGCUGUUGAUUCUUUAGAAUCCGAUUUUAGACCAUUAGAUUUUAUGAAAGAAAUAUUUAAAUCAACCCCCAACCUAAAUAACAAAGAUCCCGUAUCUGGUAUUGUGAUCGGUGGUAAACGUAGUCCUGGAAUAAAUGGUUGUGGUCCCACGGGACCACAAAUUCUUUCUCAUUUAAAUCAAGUUGGACAUACGCGAAGUACCAGUUAUUCUGUCAGUUACUGUAUGAAGAAAUCAAGCGGUGGUAACACAACUGCGAGUGAAUUGAAAGAAUUAGAUAAUAGAGGGGGUUGUAACAAAUAUCCGAAUUCUAAUCUUUCGAGAUCAAGAUCGGCACAAUCUUUGAAAUUACUCGGCGAUUCUGCAACCCAAGAUGAUAAGAUGACUAUUUUAGCACAGUUAUUCUGGUUAUCGGUUUCACUUUUGGAAUCGGAUUAUGAACAUGAAUUUCUUCUAGCAUUGAGAUUGCUAAGUCGAGUACUUCAUAGGUUGCCAUUGGAUCGUCCAGAUGCAAGAGACAAAGUUGAAAAGUUACAACAACAAUUAAGAUGGAAUUCUUUUCCCGGUGUCCAUGCUCUUCUGUUAAAGGGAUGCACAAGUCCGAAUACGUACGAGCCGGUUGUAACGUUACUAUCACAGUUUACACCAUUAUUGGAUUUACCAGUUGUUGAUCCCACUCAAAGCUUAGCUUUUCCAAUGAACGUGGUCUCUUUACUUCCAUACAUGUUGCUGCAUUAUGAAGAUGCAAAUGAAUUGUGUAUUAGAAGUGCAGAAAAUAUAGCACAGGUAAGUGCAGAGAAAGGGAAGAAACUCGAAAAUUUGGGUACUGUAAUGACUUUAUACAGUCGUCGUACAUUCAGUAAAGAAAGCUUUCAAUGGACUAAAUGUGUCGUUAAAUAUCUUUACGAUACUUAUGCUCAUUUGAGUUUCGACAUGUUAGCCUUUUUGGUUGAGGUGUUAGAAAAGGGUCCAGGAAGUGUUGCUUUACCUGUACUCAGUAUCAUACACUGUAUAUUACAUUAUGUUGAUCUUGCAUCGCAAGCUGCUCAACCUAUCAAUACUGAACUCUUACAAGUUAUUUCAAAAUACGUUGAAGGGCCUCAUUGGAAGGAAGCAUUAAAAAUUUUGAAACUUGUAGUAACAAGAUCUUCAACUUUAGUUGCCCCACCAACAUCAAUGCAUGUACCAUCGUGGGAAUCAUCUUUGGCAUCUCCGCAUCCAAGUUUCACGGAUACGGAGAUAUUUACUAAAAAAGAAUUACCUGGCAGGACAAUGGAUUUCACUUUCGAUCUUUCCCAAACACCUGUGAUUGGAAGAAGGUGGUUAAUCAGACAGGGUAACGAAGAAAAAUCUUCGAGUUCACCACAAUGUUCGAUGUCUCUUUCACCAGCAGAAAGUACAGCAGUUUCUGGAUGGAAAAGGCCUUGGAUGUCACAGGGUCGCGUUAGAGAAUGUUUAGUGAACUUAUUAACAACAUGUGGACAAAGAGUUGGAUUACCUAAGAGUCCAUCGGAUGAACACAUUAGUUCAAUGACAUUGUCUAGCAAGGUGAUAUUCAGUCAAAGUUCUGACUUAAUGGAGAGGCAAUCAUCGAUGGCGUCAUCUACAGAGGAAGUUUCUGGUGCGAACAAUGAUUUAAGUGGUGGUUCUCGACGAGACGAUGAACAAUUUGGGGUGUUCAAAGAUUUUGACUUCCUCGAAUAUGAAAGUGAAAGUGUCGAGGGUGAAAGUACGGAUAACUUUAACUGGGGUGUUAGACGACGUCCUCUCAGCGAAGGAGAGGAAAGGGAACCUAGUCUACGACAGUUUGAGGAAAGUUUGAGCGAAAAAACCCAAACGUCGAGCAAACAUACUACCAGACGGGGAGUCACGGAAGAAUCGUCCGACGAUGAAGCCGGUUCAGAAUCACCAUUGGAUGAAGUACCAAGUGGAUCAGGAGCUGGACAAGAAGCUAACAGUAUUCCAGGAAUGUUUCCACCUUCUUCUCUUUCGAUACCGAGCCGAACUCGUCACGACUCAUCAACAAGGUCUGACACGUCCGGUUCUAGCGCAGGAGAUCUCGGAGACGUGACACCAUGCAACGCGUCACCAAAUUUAUCCGCAUUGAUGCCGUUCAGACAGGUCGUCAGAGAUGACGCUGAAGAAAUUUGGCGUCAACAAAUUCAAGCUCUCGUCACUCAGGCACCUUAUACCACAUUAGAUUUCUUUCAAUUAUUAAGCAGAAUUAUAAGGGAUGUAAGCAGCAAAUCAGUGGGCCUGACUCGAGAAGCAUGCGCUUUAUUAUCAAACGGCAGUCCUGCUUCUAAACAAUUAGGAUAUCAUUUAUCUAGUCACGCGGAAUUACUUAGCGCGAAAGCCGAACCACCGUUAGUUUGGUUCUCUGUUUCCAUUUUCUCGCAUCAAAGAUUGCACGAAUCUUUACGUUUCGAAAUGUUGGAAAUACAGCAACAUCUCGAAACGUUUCCCGACAGAAAAUAUCACGCCACAGAGUGUUUGGAAACUGUAAAAGCAACGACGAAACUUCAAGCAUUAGGUGGUAGCACUACGAUGGAACUUGGUUUCGAGGAAAUGUUUUUAGAUCUGGGCCGGUCAUUUUACAAAUUGCAUCUUCAAUUAUUGUUAUUGAUAAAGGCAUCGAACAAAAUGUUGGGAAUAUUAAUAAGUGCUGCGAGAAACGUACAGAUACCUUUGCAAGAUAUAUCAACGGAAAUAUCUAACAUGAAGACAGCAUUGAGCAGAGCUUUGGAAGAAAGUACCGAAAGUGAACGAGGUACACCGACUCCAACGCCCAGUCCUAGUCCUUUGCCAGCUGUUGGAGCUGUUGAAGAUAUCGCAAGGGUUGCCGAACUUCUUAGAAAUGCAAGAUGGUGUCCAGCUUUGGAAGCUGUUAGAUUACACAGAGCUCAAUGGCCUGGUGAUCCUUUCCACGAUGACGAUGAUGUAACAACAGCUGUUAACAUGUAUUGUAAACACUUGGGACAAGAUAGAUCUGAUAUUUUCGUGGUCACCCGAACGGACGAUGAAAUGGUUGAAAUCUUUAAUAAACUCAUGAGCAGUUUAUUUCAAGUUCUUACAUCUGUGACAGGUCUCGAGGGAUCCGCGAAAUCAGCGCGUGCACAACAGGAUCAUUCUAAUCAUUCGAAAAACGACUGUUAAUUUAUAAGCAUUUUAGUAUUAUUGACAACUUGCCUAAACGUAUAUAAGAGCUCUUACAAAUUUUAAUAAUCUUUAUGAAUGUAUCGCGUAGCAUAAAAUUCGUAGAAAAAAGAAAAAAGGAGAGAAAGAGUGAGAGAGAGAGCGAGCGAACGAUAGAGAGAAUAUAUCGAGAAGAAACAGAAGAAAGAAAGAAAAAAAAAGAUUAACGAGAGCAAAAGUACGAGAUCGUCGUCUUUUUUUUUUGUAAUCUUAUUUCGUGUAUAUUUUCUUUUUUCCCUUUUUUUUUUACAUUAUGUCUUGCUUUUAAUAUCAUAUAAGUAACGUUAAAAGAUUAUUUAUGAAAAAGAAGAACCAAAAAUAAACGUACUGAUGCUCGAAAAAUAAUAUCGAUCUAUGAUUUGUAAAGAAAAAAUGCCGGACACUCCUCCGACGUAUAAUUUUCAAUUAUUGAUUAGCGAAUACGAUCUUGAAUUAUGUUUCAACGUAAAGAAUUUUGCUUGCCAAUUUAUCAAGAAAGCUAUUAAAAAAGCCACGAGAAUAAUAAGUGACAUGGACGAUAUUUCUGAUCUAACGGUGCGAAGAAAUUCUACUUUUACCAGAUCAUUGAGUUAUUUUGGCGUAGAGUGGCCCACUUGUGGUAAUACCGAUAAGAAAAAUAUUUCAAUCAGUCUCCAAAAUGAAAUGAAAGCGUGGAAUAAUUUGCCGGUAAAUUCGAAGAAAAUAAUUAAAUGAAAAAAAAGAAAAAAUUUCAAAAGAAAAAACAUAUCUGACAUAUGCGAUUGCGCGUUUUUAGGAGUUAAAGGAUUGGAUGUUCAGUAUAGAAUUUGUUAGUCUUUCUGCCUUGAAUAAUAUAAAUUAUUACAAAUAUAAAGUAUUUUGGAGCGUACCUACGAAAUCGUAUCCCGAACCACAAGUUACGGUUUACCUAAGAUUCCGUAUAGCUGUAAAUCUUGAUUACCCAGCACAUUAUCCUGUAAAUGUAAGUUAAUAUCCUCAUGUUCAAAUAAUAACACAGUUAGGAAAUAAGGAUAAAAGUAUAAUUAAACACACACAGAUACACUUUUUGAACUCAGGUCACGUAUAUUAUCGAAGCUCGUCAUUUGAUUAAUCGAUUGGAUACGAUGUUUCAACCUAAAUGGCUUUACGAUAUAUUAGAUAUGAAAACUAUGAUGUUCAAGUCAUUUGAAUUUUGAACAACAAAGACGUUUCUUAUUCCUUAUCGAAUCUAAUUAUAAUUAUAUAAAUAUAUUUAUAGAAAGUGAGAGAGAGAGAGAGAUGGUUUAAAACUUUGGACAUGUGCAUCAAACAAGGGUCAACAUUUUUACAUUUGCAUUUUGAAAGUAUAUUACGUAGCGUGCAAAGUGUCGUAAAAGUAAGAGUGUCAGAUUUCUCUACGAGCCGGCGCGACGAGAGCACGCGCCCGGCUAAACUCGGUUGCAAGCACACCGGACGCCGGUUCACUUUGGUCGGUCAAACAAUAGGAGCAGGUGAUACCCCAAGAAGAGAGAGAGAGAGAGAGAAAGAGGGAGAGAAAGGGUAGUAUACCUUCUCCUACUACUACUACUACUACUUUGCUCUCUUUCAAUUACGUUUACCACGCUCUCUCGUAUUAACCCAUUAGUGCCGAAUCGUUUCCACGAUUCAUUUACGAGAACUAAACUUCAAAACAUAUAUAUUUUUUAAUACCCA
rnacentral:misc_RNA from 1 species